GAGGGAUGCUGCUGAGGUCACAUUGCUUGCCUGAGCACUGCUGCUCCCAGGACCCCCUGGAGGUUGGGGUGAGGUCUUUGGGAAAGGAGGAGAUGAAGGCAAGACGACGAGUCUGCUGGAGUCGUGCUCCUUGAGGAGGUGUCAUCGGGGUAUUCAGUAACGGAGGACCUGAAGCCAAGGCUUGGUGCACACAUUACUCUAUGAGCUCUCCAAAAUGAAGGGCAACAGCCACACCCAACCCAUAACGAUGACGGACUUUUCUUCAAAGUUUUGCAGUAAUAAUAAUAAUGAAAAAACCUGUCUUGUGAUACAU